CCUACGGGGGGCUGCAGUAGGGAAUCUUCCGCAAUGGACGAAAGUCUGACGGAGCAACGCCGCGUGAGCGAAGAAGGUCUUCGGAUCGUAAAGCCCUGUUGUUAGGGAAGAACAAGUACGGGAGGAAAUGACCGUACCUUGGCGGUACCUAACGAGGAAGCCACGGCUAACUACGUGCCAGCAGCCGCGGUAAUACGUAGGUGGCAAGCGUUGUCCGGAAUUAUUGGGCGUAAAGCGCGCGCAGGCGGUCUUUUAAGUCUGAUGUGAAAUCUUGCGGCUCAACCGCAAGCGGUCAUUGGAAACUGGGGGACUUGAGUGCAGAAGAGGAAAGCGGAAUUCAACGUGUAGCGGUGAAAUGCGUAGAGAUGUGGAGGAACACCAGUGGCGAAGGCGGCUUUCAGGUCUGUAACUAACGCUGGGGCGGGAAAGCGUUGAGUGCAAACAGGAGUAGAUACCCUGUUAGUC
rnacentral:rRNA from 1 species